UUUGAUUAUGGCUCAGAUUGAACGCUGGCGGCAGGCCUAACACAUGCAAGUCGAGCGCGAAAGCUCUUCGGAGUGAGUAGAGCGGCGGACGGGUGAGUAACGCGUAGGAAUCUACCCAGUAGUGGGGGACAACUUGGGGAAACUCAAGCUAAUACCGCAUACGCCCUAUGGGGGAAAGCGGGGGACCUUCGGGCCUCGUGCUAUUGGAUGAGCCUGCGUUGGAUUAGCUAGUUGGUGGGGUAAAGGCCCACCAAGGCGACGAUCCAUAGCUGGUCUGAGAGGAUGAUCAGCCACACUGGGACUGAGACACGGCCCAGACUCCUACGGGAGGCAGCAGUGGGGAAUAUUGCGCAAUGGGGGCAACCCUGACGCAGCCAUGCCGCGUGUGUGAAGAAGGCCCUAGGGUUGUAAAGCACUUUCACUUGGGAGGAAAGGUUCGUAGUUAAUAACUGCGAGCUGUGACGUUACCUUGAGAAGAAGCACCGGCUAACUCCGUGCCAGCAGCCGCGGUAAUACCGGAGGGUGCGAGCGUUAAUCGGAAUUACUGGGGCGUAAAGCGCGCGUAGGCGGUUUUGUUAAGUCGGAUGUGAAAGCCCC
rnacentral:rRNA from 1 species